rnacentral:rRNA from 1 species
AUUGAACGCUGGCGGCGUGCCUAAUACAUGCAAGUCGAACGCAGUGGGGACGGGUGAGAAACCCGUGGGUAACCUCCCAUCAGAGGGGAUAACACUUGGAAACAGGUGCUAAACCGAUACUGAUGGAUGGACCCGCGGGGCAUUAGCUAGUUGGUGAGGUAACGGCUCACCAAGGCCACGAUGCAUAGCCGACCUGAGAGGGGGAUCGGCCACACGUGGACGGAGCCACGGCCCAGACUCCUACGGGAGGCAGCAGUAGGGAAGCUGCGGCAAUGGACGAAAGUAUGACCGAGCAACGCCGCGUGAGUGAAGAAGGUUUUCGGAUCGUAAAACUCUGUUGUUAGAGAAGCGGGAUCUAACCAGAAAGCCACGGCUAACUACGUGCCAGCAGCCGCGGUAAUAC